rnacentral:rRNA from 1 species
UACGUAGGGGGCAAGCGUUGUCCGGAUUUAUUGGGCGUAAGGAGCGUGUAGGCGGCCAGGUAGGUCCGUUGUGAAAACUCGAGGCUCAACCUCGAGCUGUCGAUGGAAACCAUCUGGCUAGAGUCCGGAAGAGGAGAGUGGAAUUCCCGGUGUAGCGGUGAAAUGCGCAGAUAUCGGGAAGAACACCCGUGGCGAAGGCGGCUCUCUGGGACGGUACUGACGCUGAGACGCGAAAGCGUGGGGAGCGAACAGG